rnacentral:rRNA from 1 species
AGAAAGUUACUUCGGUACAUCGGUGACAGGUGGUGCAUGGUUGUCGUCAGCUCGUGUCGUGAGAUGUGGUUAGUCCGCAACGAGCGCAACCCCUAUUGUUAGUUGCCAUCAUUCAGUUGGGCACUCUAGCGAGACUGCCGGUAAUAAACCGGAGGAAGGUGGGGAUGACGUCAAAUCAUCAUGCCCCUUAUGACCUGGGCUACACACGUGCUACAAUGGUUGGUACAACGAGUUGCGAGUCGGUGACGGCGAGCUAAUCUCUUAAAGCCAAUCUCAGUUCGGAUUGUAGGCUGCAACUCGCCUACAUGAAGUCGGAAUCGCUAGUAAUCGCGGAUCAGCACGCCGCGGUGAAUACGUUCCCGGGCCUU